AGGCACUAUCUUGCUUGAGGGACAAUGUCAUCUUCGUCUUCCACAUCUCUAUCAUAGCAAGCUCUUCCUUGAUCAAAGCAAUUCGGACGAUGGCUUCAUUCUCCUUGGCUUAAGCAUCAAGAAGAGAAAACUCAAUCUUCUCGAGCCGUUGUGCAUAAUUCUCCCAACUUCGUGAGAUGCCAAACAUAACAACAACCUCACUCAAACCAGAUUCAAACAAUCCCAGGUCUGAGCGCACCCAAGACCUGUCAAAGAAUUGAGUCAUCUGGCAUUGAGGUCGGCUAUGCAUCGACAACUUCACUUCUCUCCAAGCUAAAGUUGAAUCCGCU
rnacentral:lncRNA from 1 species